UACGAGGGGGGCGAGCGUUGUUCGGAAUUAUUGGGCGUAAAGGGUGCGUAGGCGGUUUGAUAAGUCUGAUGUGAAAUCUAUGGGCUCAACCCAUAGCCUGCAUUAGAAACUGUCGGGCUUGAGUGUGGGAGAGGUGAGUGGAAUUUCCGGUGUAGCGGUGAAAUGCGUAGAUAUCGGAAGGAACACCUGUGGCGAAAGCGGCUCACUGGACCAUUACUGACGCUGAUGCACGAAAGCUAGGGGAGCAAACAGG
rnacentral:rRNA from 1 species